AGCGAACGCUGGCGGCAGGCCCAACACAUGCAAGUCGAACGAACUCUUCGGAGUUAGUGGCGGACGGGUGAGUAACACGUGGGAACGUGCCUUUUGGUUCGGAAUAACUCAGGGAAACUUGUGCUAAUACCGAAUGUGCCCUUCGGGGGAAAGAUUUAUCGCCAUUAGAGCGGCCCGCGUCUGAUUAGCUAGUUGGUGAGGUAACGGCUCACCAAGGCGACGAUCAGUAGCUGGUCUGAGAGGAUGACCAGCCACACUGGGACUGAGACACGGCCCAGACUCCUACGGGAGGCAGCAGUGGGGAAUCUUGCGCAAUGGCGAAAGCCUGACGCAGCCAUGCCGCGUGAAUGAUGAAGGUCUUAGGAUUGUAAAAUUCUUUCACCGGGGACGAUAAUGACGGUACCCGGAGAAGAAGCCCCGGCUAACUUCGUG
rnacentral:rRNA from 1 species